UGACAGAGAGCCCAACGAUCGAUCUGUCAUUUUAGACUUUUGGCUUAUAAUAAAUAAACUCUCACAGAGCGCACUCUUCUUCCUCUCCUCGCCUUCUCGUCUCCGAUUCUUCCUCCGUCAGAAACAACCUGGAAAAAUAUAAAAGAGAUGAUCAGUGAUCGGUCGUCGGAGUUCAGAGUUCAGAUUCGGAGAUUAUUCGUCAUUAAGAUCAGAAUGUCCUACAGAUGGAUUUGCAAUCAUCCCUUUCUUUUGGGGUUCAUUGGGUUUUUGUAUUUUCUGCAUAGAUAUUGUCCUCUUUUAUUUGCGCCUUUGGUCACUGCAUCUCCUGUUUUGGUGUGUACUUUCGUUUUGCUUGGCACGAUUUUGAGUUUUGGAGAGCCAAACAUUCCUGAAAUCGAUAAGGAACCGGAGAUUGUCCACGAGGCUGCUCCUUUUAGAACUGAGGUUUCGAGGGAUGCUAAUGUUACUGUUGUUGAGAGAGGAGAUCAGAGUUUUACGGUGGAUAGUUUCGUGGGGGCGGAGAAAGAUGUGCUUGAGGAUGGGAAUGAUGAUGUUGAUAGAUUAGUGGAAAACCUACUCAGUGAAGUUGAGGACAAUGGUCGGCCUUUUGAUUAUAGGCCUUUAGUUGAUGAGACUCUUGAUGAGAUUAAACGGGAUCCUCAGGUAAGGUUUGAGGAGAUAGCAUUUAUUUUGGAUGUGGACAAGAUGGGAGAAAGAGUAGAGGAGAAACUGAUUGAAAAUGAUGGGACACAAGCUUUGGGUGGAGAGCAAUCGAGGAAAAACGGAACUCUAUAUGAAAGGAUUGACGAUUCCAAAGAUGAUCAGAUGGAUGUAUCUCCAGUUUCACCUUGGAGACCAAUGAGGCAUGAAGAGGAUGAGGAUGAUGAUGCGGACCGUGAUGACUCGCUGGAUUCUGGGUCUGAUGGUGCAGAAAGUUCUUCGCCUGAUGCUUCUAUGACAGACAUCAUUCCGAUGCUUGACGAGCUUCACCCGCUUUUACACUCAGAAGCUCCUAAUCGUGGUAUUGCAGAUGGUGAAGGAUCAGAUGCAGCUUCAGAGGGGCCACAUAGGAGUAGUAGUGAUGAAGGUAGGAGUAGUAGUGAUGAAGGAAUGGAGUCUGAUGUUGACAGUGAAAGUCAUGGAGAAGAAGGCGACAACGAGAAUGAAGAUGAGGAAGAAGAUGAAGAAGAGGAAGAGGAACAGGAACAUGAAAAGAAAGAAGAUAAGGACGACGAAAGUAAAUCAGCAAUCAAGUGGACAGAGGCUGACCAAAGAAAUGUUAUGGAUCUAGGAAGUCUUGAACUUGAAAGAAACCAACGGUUGGAGAAUCUUAUUGCCAGGAGAAGGGCUCGCCACAAUAUGAGACUGAUGGCAGAGAGAAAUCUUAUUGAUUUUGACAGUGCUGAUAUUCCCUUUAAUAUGCCGCCAAUCUCAACUGCAAGGCAGAAUCCAUUUGAUGCUCCAUAUGAUUCCUAUGAUGAUAUGGGAUUACCACCUAUCCCUGGCUCUGCCCCGUCCAUUAUGUUUGCGAGGAGAAACCCAUUUGAUCUUCCAUAUGAGCCAAAUGAAGAAAAGCCAGACCUCAAGGCUGACGGUUUCCAAGAAGAGUUCUCUUCUCAACAACCAAAGGAUCAAGUGUUCAGAAGACAUGAAAGUUUCAGUGUAGGCCCAUCAAUGCUUGGAGGUCCUAGGCAUGAUAGGCUACGACCUUUCUUUGUGCUAGAAAGAUUAGCAAAUGAGGGAACGAGCUAUUAUCCAUUUGAAAGGCAGCUCAGUGAAGUCAGUGAAUCAAAAGUCAGUUCGGUUCCUGAUACUGAAUCUGUGUGCACAGUCCUAGAGGAUGAUGAAAAGAAGGUGGAUGAACAUAAUGCUGAUCGAGAAACUGAAAUUGCUAAAGUUGAUAUGGCUUCUGACCAUGAUGAAGAAAAAAGCCAUUCAGCUUCUGACCAUGAUGAAGAAAAAAGCCAUUCAGCUUCUGACCAUGAUGAAGAAAAAAGCCAUUCGUCUGAGGAUUCCGAUUUCGAUGAACAAGCUGAUAGCAGAAAGCUUCAUAAUGAUGUGGCUGAGAUAGUACUGGGAAGUGGAGAAGAAACACACCAUGAGCAAUCAAACAUGAUGGAAGGAGAAACUUCUGAUAAAGGAAAUCUUGUUGAAGAGUAUUUCAGUGAUAGUGAUUCAUCUUUAUCAGAGAAAGAAGAAAAUAUGCGGGAUAUCAGUGAAGAUGAAGCAAUGUUGAUUUCGGAACGGGUAGUUGAUCUUCAUGAAGAAUCAGGUGCGUCUUCCCAGCCUUCUUUUGGAGAAUUAGAAAUCAAUGGGGCUAGGGUGGUGGAGGAUGGUUACCACCAUGAUGAAGCUCGUGCUGAAGAAUCUUUCAUUACUGCGCAUCCCUCACUUGAUGAGUCAGCAAUUCAUGCUCUUUGUGGUUUGGGAGAUGGCCACCACGAGGAACCUGUUUACGAUUCGAGUCCUCCCUCAGGCAGUAGAUUCCCAUCAUUUUCUUCUGUGUCGUCGUCUGAUUACAAACCAGAUCUACCUGAAAAGAAUGGGGAAGAAGUAGAAGAAAAUGAAGAGAAAGAACAUGAAGUUUAUUCUAAAAGCAUAGGUCCUGAGGAAAUUCAUUCCACUUCUAAUGAGACUGAAACAAGGACAAAGGAAGUAGGAGAAACUAGCACGCAUGUAACAAGAGAGGCAAGCCUUGUCAUUGCAGAGGUUGGAAUUAAUGAUCAAAAUAACUCAAUUGUUUCAGGGUCUGAAUUUGAAGAUGCCUUAGUUGGUCCGGCUUCUAUGCCUUUGGGUAAGAGUGAGAAUGCUGAUGACCAGGAGGAUGACCGUUUAUCUGUUUCUAGUUCAGAGGAACUGGAAGAACUGCAUGAAGCCGUGAGAGAGGUUGUAGAUACCAGAACGCUAGAUGUUAGUGCAUCUUUGGUGGGCUUGGUUUCUCCUACAGAAGAGGAAGUAGUAUCUACAGAGAUGGUUGAACAACAUCUCCCAAUUGAGCAUACAUAUUCACCUCUGGGAUCUGGUGAUACGAGGGAGCAUGUAACAUCACUGGAAGAAUCACCUGAUGUGGUACGUGACAUAGCUGAAACUUCAGUAAACAGGUCAGUAGCUGAAGAGAUAAUGCAUGAGGAAGAGGAAUCCCGGAAACAAAAAGAUCAAGCCAGUCCUCAAACAUUCAAUGCAGACAUCCCAAUAGAUAAUUAUGCCACUUUGUCUUCUGGAGCAGUUGAGUAUGUUGAGACGCAUUCUUUUAAUGAUGAAGAUGUUCCGCAGUUGGAACAAGAACCAGCUCACUCAUCAGUUCUUGAUGCGGAGGAAGAAAUUAACCCCGACCAAACAAUGGAUAUCGAAGUAGACUCUGUAAAUGCUGGUUCCCCAAAUGUGGGAUCUGAAGAAACAACUCCAUCUGAAUCAGAUAGAGAACUGACUUGGUCAGAUAAAUCUGUGGUAGAACAAUCAUCUCUUGAACCUGGUGAAGAUCAAGUACCAACUCGUGCAGGUCCUGUUAGUGUCGUCUUUUCCCGCAACAUCACUUUCCACGAGUAUCACGAUGCUCCUGAAGAUACAGCGGAGUUAUCUUGUUUGACAUCUGACACUUCCUCCUCUCCAGCAGAAUCUCCCGAGUACACGACACCUAUGGUUGGUGAAGGCUCAAGGGCGGAAUUCUUCCAAGAGGAUAUUUAUGAGGAGCUUGACGAUAUGGUGCAGCGAUUAGAUCAGCUUACAGACUUGCAUGCAAUAUCUGAAAGUCCUCCUGAAAUUAUCACUGAAGAGGCAGACGAGAUAAAAGAGAUUGAUGAAGGAUUGUUGUCUGAACUUGACUCCAUUGGAGACUUCAGUGUUAAGGAAAUUGUGACAGACUCUGAACCUGGGCCAUCUUCGAUAGGACCUGACACUGCCGAUGAAUUGAUCGAAGCUCUGCCUGUUCUUGAAGCGAGAUCGGUUAAAGACAUAGAUUCUGCUUUCCAGCAAAUCCAUGAAGGAUCUGAGGUUGAGGAUGUUAUUCUUCCAAGCACCGUUCAGGAUCAGUUGGCUCAAGAAAAUUACGAAAAUUCAACAGAUACUGGGUCAGAUUUAGCAGUUGUGGAAGCUACGUCGAAGGAAGAUCUAGAAAAUGCUAUUAAUCAGGCUGUUGUAGAGAGCAUGGACAAGCAACCAAAAUCACCACAAUCAGAUGGUAGGCCUGGAGAAAUCAAGUGUGUAGUUGGAUCCGAACCAUCAGAGUCUUCAGUUGAAGAAAGAUCUAUUGAUGAAACAAACGUUCCUCUAAACAACACACCCGUAAAAGAAGAAGAAGAAGAGGAAAGUAAACCAAAAGAGAUAACAUCCGAUGUUUUACCUGUCGAAACUCGAUCACUGGAAGAAUUCCCUAAACCUUCUGAACCAAAAGAGGGGAUGUCAAUGGAAGUAAUCUCUGAAAGAGUGGUGAUUCCCACAGAAGCAGCUGGUCCUAGUAAUGUAACACUAAGUGAUGAAGUUGUGACCGAGGAAGCGAAAGCUGAGACCACCGCAAGCAACACUGAUGUGAAUGUCCAGAGUCCUGUGUCCAAAGAAACUCCAGAGAAUUCGAGGGAAAACAUUGCAGAGCAAAAAGGAAAGAAGGAGAAGAAAAUGAAGAAUAAGACUAAGUCCAAUUCUUCAAGCUCCAGUUCAAGUUCAAGCUCAAGCUCUAGUUCCAGUGACUCAGAUUGAAAAAAUCAAAGGCCAUUACAUCGUCCCUGAGUUGGGCCCUGAGGUCAACUUCUCUUACGCUUGAUUUGGUCAAGGCAGGUUUCCCUGAGGGAAAGUACCUCUUUGCUGGUGUUGUUGAUGGAAGGAUCACCUGGGCCAACGACUUUGCUGCGUCUCUAAGCACCUUGCAGGCACUUGAGGACAUUGUUGGUAACGACAAGCUUGUGGUCUCAACCUCCUGCUCUCUUCUCCACACCGCUGUUGAUCUUAUCAAUGAGACUAAGCUUGAUGAUGAAAUCAAGUCAUGGUUGGCGUUUGCUGCCCAGAAGGUCGUUGAAGUGAUUGCAUUGGCCAAGGCUUUGGCUGGUCAGAAGGAUGAGGCCCUUUUCUCUGCCAAUGCUGCGACUUUGGCUUCAAGGAGGUUUUCCCCCAAGAGUCACCAACAAGGGUGUUCAGAAGGCCGCUGCUGCUUUGAAGGGAUCUGACCACCGUCGUGCAACUAAUGUUAGUGCUAGGCUAGAUGCUCAGCUAGAUUUUCACCAAGAUUUCUAAACUAUCUAUAAAUAUCGUUAUACAUUUUAUAUUCUAGCUCAUCAAACAACUACCUCUUUUCAUCGAUCGUUUAUCACCUCCAAACUUUGAAAUGGUUGUUUCUGUUGCUUUCCUCUGUAAUGUCAAGAUGUAAAAGACAGCUUGAAAAGUUGAAGUGAUACUUCUUCAUACCUGGAA